rnacentral:rRNA from 1 species
AUUGAACGCUGGCGGCAGGCCUAACACAUGCAAGUCGAGCGGAUGCAGGGAGCUUGCUCCUGGAUUCAGCGGCGGACGGGUGAGUAAUGCCUAGGAAUCUGCCUGGUAGUGGGGGAUAACGUCCGGAAACGGGCGCUAAUACCGCAUACGUCCUGAGGGAGAAAGUGGGGGAUCUUCGGACCUCUCGCUCUCAGAUGAUCCUAGGUCGGAUUAGCUAGUUGGUGGGGUAAAGGCCUACCAAGGCGACGAUCCGUAGCUGGUCUGAGAGGAUGAUCAGUCACACUGGAACUGAGACACGGUCCAGACUCCUACGGGAGGCAGCAGUGGGGAAUAUUGGACAAUGGGCGAAAGCCUGAUCCAGCCAUGCCGCGUGUGUGAAGAAGGUCUUCGGAUUGUAAAGCACUUUAAGUUGGGAGGAAGGGCAGUAAGUUAAUACCGUGCUGUUUUGACGUUACCAACAGAAUAAGCACCGGCUAACUUCGUG